rnacentral:misc_RNA from 1 species
GAUGAAGAACGCAGCGAAAUGCGAUAAGUAAUGUGAAUUGCAGAAUUCAGUGAAUCAUCGAAUCUUUGAACGCACAUUGCGCCCUCUGGUAUUCCGGGGGGCAUGCCUGUUCGAGCGUCAUUAUAACCACUCAAGCUCUCGCUUGGUAUUGGGGUUCGCGGUUUCGCGGCCCCUAAAAUCAGUGGCGGUGCCUGUCGGCUCUACGCGUAGUAAUACUUCUCGCGAUUGAGUUCGAUAGGUCUACUUGCCAGUAACCCCCAAUUUUUACAGGUUGACCUCGGAUCAGGUAGGAAGACCCGCUGAACUUAAGCAUAUCAAUAAGCGGAGGA